ensembl:snRNA U6 U6 spliceosomal RNA
GUGCUCGCUUCAGCAGCACAUAUACUAAAAUUGGAAUGAUACAGAGAAGAUUAGCAUGGCUCCUGCGCAAGGAUGACACACAAAGAAAGCAAUCCCAUUUAC